GGAGGGUGCAAGCGUUAUUCGGAUUUAUUGGGNGUAAAGGGCGUGUAGGUGGUCUGAUAAGUCAGGUGUGAAAGCCCCUGGCUCAACCAGGGAAGUGCAUUUGAAACUAUCAGACUUGAGUACGGGAGGGGGAAGUGGAAUUCCUGGUGUAGAGGUGAAAUUCGUAGAUAUCAGGAGGAAUACCGGUGGCGAAGGCGACUUCCUGGACCGAUACUGACACUGAGACGCGAAAGCGUGGGGAGCAAACAGGAUUAGAUACCCUGGUAGUCCACGCCGUAAACGAUGGGCACUAGGUGUAGCGGGUAUUGACCCCUGCUGUGCCGAMKAACGCAUUAAGUGCCCGCCUGGGGAGUAC
rnacentral:rRNA from 1 species